GAUGAACGCUGGCGGCGUGCCUAAUACAUGCAAGUCGAGCGAACAGACGAGGAGCUUGCUCCUCUGACGUUAGCGGCGGACGGGUGAGUAACACGUGGAUAACCUACCUAUAAGACUGGGAUAACUUCGGGAAACCGGAGCUAAUACCGGAUAAUAUAUUGAACCGCAUGGUUCAAUAGUGAAAGACGGUUUUGCUGUCACUUAUAGAUGGAUCCGCGCCGCAUCAGCUAGUUGGUAAGGUAACGGCUUACCAAGGCGACGAUGCGUAGCCGACCUGAGAGGGUGAUCGGCCACACUGGAACUGAGACACGGUCCAGUCUCCUACGGGAGGCAGCAGUAGGGAAUCUUCCGCAAUGGGCGAAAGCCUGACGGAGCAACGCCGCGUGAGUGAUGAAGGUCUUCGGAUCGUAAAACUCUGUUAUUAGGGAAGAACAAAUGUGUAAGUAACUAUGCACGUCUUGACGGUACCUAAUCAGAAAGCCACGGCUAACUACGUG
rnacentral:rRNA from 1 species